rnacentral:lncRNA from 1 species
GGAGCAGAAAACUCUAACACAGUAGUUUAAUUCACAGUUUGUAGAGGUUUCAGUCCAUAGCCGGCUGGCUUCAAACCAGGAUUGCAUGGCAGAGGGGUGUUGCAGAGGUGAAACAAUCCAUGCCCUGUCAGACAGAAGGCGGCAAGCAGCAAGCAGCAGCAGCCUACCUUACAUCUUUCCCUUUAUUCCAUCUGGACCACAAGCCUAUUGGCUGGGCCAAACGUGGGAGCCUAAGGAUAAAGAGUUAUCUAAAACAGUUGCUAUUUCAGUCCAGAACUUGAAGUUAAAAAUGUUUGAAUGGAAAAAAAGUUUAAAAAUAUAGAUGUGUAUUUUUUUAAAACCCCAUUAAGCU